rnacentral:piRNA from 1 species
CCUAGAUGAAGAUGAUGGUGUUAUUGUGCC